rnacentral:tRNA from 1 species
GGGGACAUGGUUCAGUGGUAGAACAUUUGCCUGGCAUGCAUAAGGCCCUGGGUUCUGUCCCCA